rnacentral:rRNA from 1 species
GAGACGCUGGCGGCGUGCCUAACACAUGCAAGUCGAGCGGGGUUGAAGCGAGAGGUAACUCGAGCUUCUACCUAGCGGCGGACGGGUGAGUAACACGUGGGUAACCUGCCUCAUAGAGGGGAAUAGCCUUCCGAAAGGGAGAUUAAUACCGCAUAAUAUAUACUGGUAGCAUUAACGGUAUAUCAAAGGAGAAAUCCGCUAUGAGAUGGGCCCGCGGCGCAUUAGCUAGUUGGAGAGGUAACGGCUCACCAAGGCGACGAUGCGUAGCCGACCUGAGAGGGUGAUCGGCCACAUUGGAACUGAGACACGGUCCAGACUCCUACGGGAGGCAGCAGUGGGGAAUAUUGCACAAUGGGGGAAACCCUGAUGCAGCAACGCCGCGUGAAUGAUGACGGCCUUCGGGUUGUAAAGUUCUUUGAUUGGGGACGAAAAUGACGGUACCCAAAAAACAAGCCACGGCUAACUACGUG